UCCAAAUCUCUGAAGAUAAACAUCACAGAUAAAUUUAUGACUUUCCAUUUAUCAGCCUUUUGAAAUUUCCCACUUAGGAGGAAUCUACUGGGUUGUGUGCCCUUUGCAAGCCCCACCCUACCUUUCUUCAGCCCGCAGGCUGCAGGAAGAGGAGCUGCCUCAACUUUUCAACAGUUAGAUUGACAGAGUAGUUACUCUUGCUCGAGUUAUUAACAUAGACAUGACUGCAUUGGACUGUGAGCUUCUAUAAGUCAGUGGAUCCUUUUAUAGCUGUUGGUCACUGGCUGCCUACUGAGUGUCAGGUGUGGUCCUAGUGUGACCGGAUCCUCACUUCCUUAGCAUAACUGACUCCAUCUUGACCUGAAGCUGAACCUGUGCAACUGCUUUCCUUGCCAACAAGAAGUAGAUCUUAGUGUUCUGAAAUUAUUGAUGAAUGGUUGAUCGUUGAUUGUUUCCAUAACGGGUUGCCCUGACUGCACUCACAGACCACCUCAGCCACUGCGUGCUGGGCUGCUGGAACCUAGCUGGCUUUCUGCACCUAACCCAUACACGGCUGUGCCACGCGGAACUCGGGACUGCACUCUGGGCGGUGCUUUCAGCUGUUGAGUGUAGUCACCAGCCGGCUUAAUAACAAGACUCCAGUUUGACUGAACGGGUCUUGGAUGAUCUCUGAGGCUUACCCCACAACAAGGCGUCAGACAUGUGUGACCUCAUUUAAUCCUCACAGUAGGGUGACCAGGUGUUCUAGAAAUCAGUCAUAAGUGAUUCGUGGUUACACAACAAGGCUGUAACUUUUCCUGCCUUUAAUUGCUCGAUCAAGCGCUCUCCUCUUAUAAAAAUAAAAUAAAGAAAGAAAAAAUAGCAGCAAUGGAGGUGAUGGCUAAAGCCAAGAGAGGCAUCAGGCUCCAGCCCUAAGAAG